AAAAAAAAGGCAUUCUGACUCCUAUUUCUUAGUUUUCCUUAAGCUCCCAAACACGUUUAGGUUUAAAAGGACUUUAUAGUCAAACAUUAUCCCAUUUUAUAAAGAAAAGAAAAUUAGAGCCUAAAAAUGGACAAAACAGAACUUAAAAGGAAUUCAGUUCUAGGUCCCCUGAACGUAGAAGAAACAGCGCUGUUACACUGGGGUAAGUAAGGUUGCUAAGCUGUACCACAAAGACCUACUACUAACCACUCUCCUGAAAAUGGUUCCAUAGGUCCCAACAAACAAAUCUCAAUCUAUUGGAAGGGUACAGGGGGAAAGGUUUCGGUGCUAAGGCUGAGCAACACACUGCUGUCUCAUCUUGUGAGGUCGCAGGUACAGUUUGCAUUUGAUUUUGUGUCCCGAGAAAAAGGGAAGUUGGUGGAGGACCCCCUCCCCCCCAUAAAUUAUUGCUAGGCUUUUUCCAAAAUGAAGGUUUAAGGCUCAAGGCAAGAACCCAGAGGCUGUUUCCUUAAUUGCAACUUACCUCAGUAACAUAAGCACGGGCUAAAGGAGAAGAUGACUCCUCUUGUUUAAGGUCGGUGUCAGAGAUUCCUUCCGCUCUGACCAUAACACUAUUCAUCAGUUCUGUGCUAUUUUGGUCACUGAAUUUGGAUACAUGAGCAUCAUUAAAUGAUGGCUCUACAGUAAUCUUAGGCUGAUGAAUUUCAUCUGGGAAAGUGUCUGCUUCUAGGGCAUCUGGAGGCUCAGGAAAAUCAGAUGAGUGAAUAUCACUAUCUACUGUCAGUUCUGCUUGGGAUAUGGAAGAAGUGAUGUCUUCUGUGGCAACAGUCUGAAUGAUGACUCGUGGUGUGUGACACUGCACCGUGACGUUGUCACUUGUGUUUAACAAAUGUUCUGGCUAUAAAAUGUCAAAGAAAAUGAUCAGUGGCAAAAUGAGAAAGUCCCAACCAGACUUCAGUUAUAGGCGACAACUACCAUUUACAGGUGGCACCUGCCUGUCCCCACCCCUGCCCUCUCACCUCUGGAACUGCAGUGGUCUAGGACCGCCCCCCCCAUCAUUCCAUCUCCUGUAAGGAGACACACAGGGGCAAGGGUUAUACCCCAGUAAAGGCAGAGUAAUGGUGUAAAACUAUGCUCCUAAGACAACAGCAGUAGGAAAAAUUGUUUAAAUAAGUGGACUCUAUUAGUUCUAGCUCUUAAACUUAGUAUCAUUUAAUCCUGGUCCCUGACAGGUACUCCAAUACUUAGAUUACAUAAUCCAUUUCUCCCCUAGACCUACUGUUAUUAUUGAAGGCACAUGGGUUCUCUCAUAGUAUUAAAAACAAAAAGCUUCUGGUGACACUUAUCAGCCAGUCUUCUCUACAGAAACUAGAAAAAUCAAGGAACUGAUGGAACAUACGGAUAAAGCGUGAACAAUGAUCUGUUCAGGAGAAGCAGGUGCGGCAGCCGUCAGGGUUACUGUGGGACUAGCCGUCAGAGUGAGGGGAAGGCCUUGGCUUGAGCUUGUCUGAAGCAGGUAGGUGCCUGGAGUGCCAGUGGGCUGUAAAUGGAAAGACUGAAGCAAAAAAAUUAAGAUCAACAUAGGUGCAACAGACUGAGUAAAUAAGCUUACUUAAGUCUAGCUUUAUAUCUGAAAUGGAGUCUUUAAUUUACUAGCCACAAAUGUACUUCCCAAUCCUGAAGGUGCCCUCAAGUAACAAAAUGAAGGGUAUAAUACUGACUUGUCCUACGUCCUUACACUUGUCUUGGAGGUUUAACAGAGAACCUUGAUCCUGCUCUUCACUCCCAUGUAUUUCUAUGGUCUGGUCUUAGCCAUUUAUUUCAAGGCACCAAGACACGGUAGCAUAAGCCACUGUGUCCAGUGCAGUAACCCGCACACAGUCUUCCUUCACUGUCUGUCUAGCAUGUAAAGAAUUGGCACUCUCCCCACUUUUUAAAAGUUUCACAUUUUUGAAAAGGUACUACAGAGUUUACUUGAACAGAUUUUUUCCAUAGUAUAAUUUUAGGAACUAUUUUUUAUACUAAGGCGAAAUGUACAGAGAGUGAUUAGUGUUCUGAAUGAAAAAGAGUAACUUUGAAAAGCUGGUUAACUGAUAGUAAGUUUAUCUUGAUAGGUUUCACAGAACUGUCCCGAAACUAUUCAACUUCUAUGCUUGAUAAUUUGAGUUUGGUUUAUCCUUUUCUCCCACAGGGAAAGUAUUUACACUUAGACGGUGAUGUUGAAGUCCUAGAGCCUGUGGUCUUGUGUACUGAAGUUAUAAUAGCUCUCUUGGUACUAGCUCAAUGAAAGUGCUUUGAGAAUUACACAUCACAUCAACUCCUCAAGGGAAGAAAAGACAGUUACCCAAAGAAACAGAGGAGAUAUUUAAGUGAAGAUCUACUAAGAUUCGUAUCUCUUUAGCUGAGGCAAAGAAUUUCUGACCUCUAAGUUCUGAGGAGUAAAUAUCUGGUAAGACAAGGGAAGGACUUAAGAAGCAAAUAAUACAUUACCAGGGAAUGAAACAUCCUUAUGAUUUGCAAUUUGCCUUUUGAUAGUCCACCAUUUACUUCGAAGCCAUUGUGGUGAACGGACACUGCUCCAUCCCUCUGCUAACAGAUCCCAGUUGAUGUCAUUUUCAUCAGCUACAUCAAGCUCUGCUAUCCUACAGGUUACAAAACAAACGUCUGUUAGAACCUGUUAAUGGAUUUCUCUGGAAGAACCCUCCUCUGACUACACAUGAUGGCACCGGCAAUAAAGGGGACAGCAGCUUUUGUCAUGGAAAAGCUACUGUUAAUUGCAUGGGAAAGAAUUUCAAGGGUGCAGAACUGCUCCCAGAGCUGAGAGCUAUGACUGAGCACUGGCAAAAGCCUUUUGUUAAUGGUACAAGCAAGGGGCCAGACCGUAAACGGUCAGAAGCAGAUGAAGCACUGUAAAGGCAAGGGAGUAGCUAAAGAUUAGAAGAGGGUAAGAACAGGGUUAGUUAUAUAGUGUUCUGCCAUGUUUUAGAGUGUGUCAUAGCAAGUUACUUCCUAGAUCUGAGCUUUUCCAUAUCUGUAAUAAAAAUGUUGAGAAAUGA